UUGAAGAGUUUGAUCAUGGCUCAGAUUGAACGCUGGCGGCAGGCCUAACACAUGCAAGUCGAGCGGUAGCACAGGAGAGCUUGCUCUCUGGGUGACGAGCGGCGGACGGGUGAGUAAUGUCUGGGAAACUGCCUGAUGGAGGGGGAUAACUACUGGAAACGGUAGCUAAUACCGCAUAACGUCGCAAGACCAAAGAGGGGGACCUUCGGGCCUCUUGCCAUCAGAUGUGCCCAGAUGGGAUUAGCUAGUAGGUGGGGUAACGGCUCACCUAGGCGACGAUCCCUAGCUGGUCUGAGAGGAUGACCAGCCACACUGGAACUGAGACACGGUCCAGACUCCUACGGGAGGCAGCAGUGGGGAAUAUUGCACAAUGGGCGCAAGCCUGAUGCAGCCAUGCCGCGUGUAUGAAGAAGGCCUUCGGGUUGUAAAGUACUUUCAGCGGGGAGGAAGGUGUUGAGGUUAAUAACCUCAGCAAUUGACGUUACCCGCAGAAGAAGCACCGGCUAACUCCGUGCCAGCAGCCGCGGUAAUACGGAGGGUGCAAGCGUUAAUCGGAAUUACUGGGCGUAAAGCGCACGCAGGCGGUCUGUCAAGUCGGAUGUGAAAUCCCCGGGCUCAACCUGGGAACUGCAUUCGAAACUGGCAGGCUAGAGUCUUGUAGAGGGGGGUAGAAUUCCAGGUGUAGCGGUGAAAUGCGUAGAGAUCUGGAGGAAUACCGGUGGCGAAGGCGGCCCCCUGGACAAAGACUGACGCUCAGGUGCGAAAGCGUGGGGAGCAAACAGGAUUAGAUACCCUGGUAGUCCACGCCGUAAACGAUGUCGACUUGGAGGUUGUUCCCUUGAGGAGUGGCUUCCGGAGCUAACGCGUUAAGUCGACCGCCUGGGGAGUACGGCCGCAAGGUUAAAACUCAAAUGAAUUGACGGGGGCCCGCACAAGCGGUGGAGCAUGUGGUUUAAUUCGAUGCAACGCGAAGAACCUUACCUACUCUUGACAUCCAGAGAACUUUCCAGAGAUGGAUUGGUGCCUUCGGGAACUCUGAGACAGGUGCUGCAUGGCUGUCGUCAGCUCGUGUUGUGAAAUGUUGGGUUAAGUCCCGCAACGAGCGCAACCCUUAUCCUUUGUUGCCAGCGGUCCGGCCGGGAACUCAAAGGAGACUGCCAGUGAUAAACUGGAGGAAGGUGGGGAUGACGUCAAGUCAUCAUGGCCCUUACGAGUAGGGCUACACACGUGCUACAAUGGCGCAUACAAAGAGAAGCGACCUCGCGAGAGCAAGCGGACCUCAUAAAGUGCGUCGUAGUCCGGAUUGGAGUCUGCAACUCGACUCCAUGAAGUCGGAAUCGCUAGUAAUCGUAGAUCAGAAUGCUACGGUGAAUACGUUCCCGGGCCUUGUACACACCGCCCGUCACACCAUGGGAGUGGGUUGCAAAAGAAGUAGGUAGCUUAACCUUCGGGAGGGCGCUUACCACUUUGUGAUUCAUGACUGGGGUGAAGUCGUAACAAGGUAACCGUAGGGGAACCUGCGGUUGGAUCACCUCCUU
rnacentral:rRNA from 1 species